ensembl:snRNA U6 U6 spliceosomal RNA
GUGUUCACUUUGGAAUCACAUACACAAAAACUGAAGUGACACAGUGAGAUUAGAAUAUCCCCUGUGCAAGAAUGACAAAUUUGUAACACAUUUUCUAUUUUU